rnacentral:rRNA from 1 species
CGUAAAAGAACCUCGCCUCAUAGACUGGGACAACUAUUAGGAAACGAUAGCUAAUACCGGAUAACAGUUAUUUCUCGCAUGAGAGAUAUUAAAGUUGGUUAUGCUAACACUAUGAGAUGGCUUUGCGGUGCAUUAGCUAGUUGGUGGGGUAAAGGCCUACCAAGGCGACGAUGCAUAGCCGACCUGAGAGGGUGAUCGGCCACACUGGGACUGAGACACGGCCCAG